UCUCUGGAACAAACAAAAGGGGGAAACACUGGGAAAACACCAACCUGUACUAACUGGGCCUUUAAAUUGGAGUACAUUGCUCCACUUUAAAGGCCUAAGUUUAAAGUGGAGUAAUGUAAACUCCACUUUUUUUUUACAUUAAAAAAAGUGGAGUUUACCCUUACACUUUUUAGCAACUGCUCCCUGGUACAUUUUCCUAGCACCUCCACAUUUGGAAACUGCACAAAAUCCUCCAUGGUAGCCAUCUUUUCAAAAGAACCAACCCAGAUAACCUUUUUUUUAAAUUAUUUAUAUAUAUAUAUUUCAUCACCUUUGGAAUACUUCUCCCCUGACUAUCUGCCUAACCAAUGCUAACUACCUUCUCUAGACCCUAGUCUUCAUGCAUUUCAUGACAGGCGUUUUAAACACAAAACCAAUGACCAGCUAAAGCCCCAGCUAUGCUGUUACUCACCAGACGGACAUGGACGUGUACCCAAGACACAAAGUCAAAUCAUGUUUAUGCACAAAAACAACAAACAAACAGACCCCCGAAAGAGAUACUGUUGCUUAUUCCGACCAGAAAAGGUAGCUCCAAAGGUAAAUCCCUCUAAUUAUUUCCUGAUAAUGUUAUCACACACCCAGGCAACCAGUACACUAUUCCAGGGGAAACUUAACCUACUAGAGGCCUAUUACUUUCUCAUUACAGAAAGGAGUGAGAAACAAACCUGGACCUGGAUUUCAGACGAGCCCCCACUUGUUACACCUUGGCUCAUGUGCGCAACAAGAAAAACUGAAUGGCAUAAAGCUCUGCAGUUACAGUAUUUAUUCUACAGGAAUAAUACUACAAAGAACAAAAUACAAAGAUAACCUCCACAUGUCCAUGUGAUGGUAGACCCGGUGAAUGAGAGACCAGAGCCCAGUCUGCAGGCCUCUUAAGUAGUGGCCCAGGUGUGCCACAUCCCUGCUGAUCACCAGGGUCCAACUCCGCCUACAGGAGCUUGAAACACAACACAAGCAGAGCAGGCAACUCCAGGGUUGUCACAAGAUGAAUGACAGAAUGUAUGAGGAAGAUAUAGGGCGGUGGUGGGAAAGGUUGAUAGAGGGGAUAAGGGGCAUGAGCAAAAACACUAUAAGAACAGGGGAAAGAAAGAGAGAGACAGAGAAAAAGGGUUAAAAAAGGAGUUAGAGGAAGAGGAGAAGAAAGCUGGGGAAGGGGGUAAUUAUGACAGAGGGAUACAUAAGGAAGAAAGAUGAACUAAAGGAGAUAGAACAGGGAAAGUGUUAAGGUGCAAUAAUUAGAAGUAAGGCGAGGUAUGCAAUAGAGCAGGAGUGUCAAACAUACGGCCUGUCAGGUGGUCCAGUUCGGCCUGCCGGAUGCAAGGCAUGCUCUAAAUAAAAAACAAUUAUUUAAAAAAAAAUUGAAAUAAAAAUAGAAAAAAGUCAAACCGCGAUCUCACUCUAUGCCAGUGAUUCUCAAACUGGUGGGGUUCAGAGGCAUAACAGCUGGGGCGCGAUCGGGAGGGGGAAAUGUGAGGUGGAAAUAAUGUUUUGACGUCCGCAUCUCUUUAACGAUGGAACAGUAAUCAAAUCGUUCUUUCGCCGUAGCCAGAGGUCGGCCAUCCGCGGCUCUGCAGCGGCUCCCUGUACAGUGUUGUGCAUGUCGCACAGCAACCCAGUCUCAUCAGAAAACGUUCAGUGUCAACGUUGGUCCACUUGGAACAACGUUACCAUCUCACAUUCUGGCCUCUCAGAGUGUGAGAUGGUAACAUUUUGUCAGCCCAUUGUUUUGCAUUGGCGUGUUCUCACGUCACGUGACUCACAAGCUCCCGUCUGCGGAGAGGAAAACAUAGAGGAUAUUCCUUGUUUUCUCAGAUAAAAAUAUAGUUUUGUAACUUAGUUUGGGCAUAAAAAUACAUUGACACCAUUUCUAGCGAGAAAUGUGCUCUUUGCUUCCACAGUCUUCAGCCAGUUCGUGCUUAUGAUAAAUAUUUUAAUAGUUAUCGCGAAUGUUUUUAUCGUUGCUAUGAGGGUUGCUAUGACACUGCCAUGCCAGCACGGCGCAGCGUGCUGUUAAAAUCACCGUCCCUGCAUGGUGUCCUUCAGUGAUCGUGAAUGUUAUUCACGUUAUAUAAUAUUAAUAUUUGAGGCUAGAUUACACCUCUAAUGCGAAGGAUCCUGCGAGACCGUUCAUCCCGAAGGGGGACCGACUGCGCCACGGACGGACGGGCGAGCGGAACUGACGUGUGGCUUUUAGUAAACAUCCGGACCUUUAACUCUGGGCUGCGUAAUAACCACCGAGCUCUUGGAAGACAAACGAUGUCAUCCUUCUUCUGUCAGGUGAGUAGUUUAUUGUUUUUAAAGAUCGUUACGAUCUAGGUUUACAGUCCGAGUGCUGAGACAGCAGAUGCUAAUCUUCAGCUAAUACGCCAUUGUUAGCCACAUGCUGCAGCCCACCGUAGCCUGUGCUACCUGGGAGGUGAAUACAUGGUUGUUGAAACCAGUUCAAGACGCUUAGCUCAUCAUUGAGGGACGCUACAAUAUAUAUAUAAACAUGAAUUUGAUUUAUGAAUGCUUUAGAUUAAUAAGGAGUGUAUUUCUCUACCAUUACUCCAAAAUAUCAGAUCAAUUUGGUUUAAUGUAUAGUAUGCAAUAUGACUGUUUCCAUGUUAUGGAGUUGCAAUUCAUUUUAUAAAACAAUUCCUAUGUUCUGUUUUUUAAUCAAGGAGGAUCCAAGUGAAGCUACAGGAGUUUCAUUAACGUCAAUAACUUGGACCGAACACUUUGUUUUGCUUGAUGAAGAGCAGGAAGGGCAGCCUGGAGAGAAAGAGAAGCCGGGUUGAGCCCACUACCAUCAUCCACGUACCACGAGGAAGAUGAGGGAGAGAAAUGAUCCUACCAUUAAAGAGGAAGGACUGAUGCAUGUACUGAGACGGGACGUGAGGGCCUACUCUGCGUGCUCAGAGUUCAAGCCCAGCAGGCUGCAGCGGGCCUAUGGAAGUAAAUCUGUGUCAUCGGGAUUUUAAACAGAAAAGACAUUGAAUUUCUAGCACUGAAUAUUUAUGCAUGGAAAUUAUGUAUUUGAAUGUUUUUCAACGUUUAAAAUUCAACCGCAAAAAAUUCAACCUCAAAAAAUUCAACCGUAAAAAAUUCAACUGCAACAUCCGGGGAUCCAAGGAGGAGCAAUCGAUUCCAGAUUCAAGAUCGGGAGCGUGCGUGAGGUGCUUCGGCGAGUGUUUAAACUCUUCUAUAUGCCAUCGGUGUAGUUUGUUUCUGUAAGAUGUAGUAAUAGACAGGUGACAUGUGUACAUUCACGGACUUUAUUGGACAUAAACUAAGUGGAACUUAAACGAGAUGAUGUCCGGAUUUUUUUUUUCCGAACGGGCCAGUGACUGGCAUGGGUAACGCCAGGAUUUCAAUUUUGGAUGGGCCAAACACUCACCGGAGCACCUCACACACGCUCCCGAUCUUGAAUCGAUUGCUCCUCCUUGGAUCCCCGGAUGUUGCAGUUGCAUUUUUUUGAGGUUGAAUUUUUUGGAGGUUGAAUUUUUGAGGUUGAAUUUUUUGCGGUUGAAUUUUUUGAGGUUGAAUUUUUUGAGCUUGAAUUUUAAACGUUGAAAAACAUUCAAAUACAUAAUUUCCAUGCAUAAAUAUUCAGUGCUAGAAAUUAAAUGUCUUUUUUGUUUCAAAUCCCGAUGACACAGAUUUACUUCCAUACGGGCCUGACAUAUUCCGGAACAGCAGCACAUUCUUUGGAUGACUCCUCUGAAGAUGAAAAGAUGGCGAGUUCUUCUCAAGAGAAGCAGUACAGGUGCGCCUCAGCUCCAUUGUCCCUCCUGCAGCCUCCGCUCCUUAUGCUAACCUCAUGUCUCCAUCACAACAAGCAGCAGACCUGGAGGGACAGACCUUUCUCCAGAGCUGCCCCCUCCCUCUGAAACCCUCCUCUCCAAAACACUAUUUGUGGCGUUUUUAAAGUCUUAUUUGCAUGAGAAUUGUUGAUCAUAACAUUUCCAGCAGAUGCCUUAAUGUAAUGUUUGUGAACAAUAAAUGACAUUGAUCAUAACAUAUUGGUAUUUCCUUGCACUUCUACACCAUGAUAUUGUCAGAUAAGAUGCUGAUUACAUUAAA